AACGAACGCUGGCGGCAGGCUUAACACAUGCAAGUCGAACGAAGCCUUCGGGCUUAGUGGCGGACGGGUGAGUAACACGUGGGAACGUACCUUUUGGUUCGGAACAACUCAGGGAAACUUGAGCUAAUACCGGAUGAGCCCAUAGGGGGAAAGAUUUAUCGCCGAAAGAGCGGCCCGCGUUAGAUUAGCUAGUUGGUGAGGUAAAGGCUCACCAAGGCAACGAGCUAUAGCUGGUCUGAGAGGAUGAUCAGCCACACUGGGACUGAGACACGGCCCAUACUCCUACGGGCGGCAGCAGUGGGGAAUCUUGCGCAAUGGGCGAAAGCCUGACGCAGCCAAGCCGCGUGAAUGAUGAAGGUCUUAGGAUUGUAAAAUUCUUUUACCAGGGACGAUAAUGACGGUACCUGGAGAAAAAGCCCCGGCUAACUUCGUGCCAUCCGCCGCAGUAUAAC
rnacentral:rRNA from 1 species